UACGAAGGUCCCGAGCGUUGUUCGGAAUCAUUGGGCGUAAAGGGAGCGUAGGCGGCGUGGUAAGUCAGAUGUGAAAUCCCGGGGCUCAACCCCGGAACUGCAUCCGAUACUGCCAUGCUAGAGUGAUGGAGAGGUAGCUGGAAUUCUUGGUGUAGCAGUGAAAUGCGUGGAGAUCAGGAGGAACACUCGUGGCGAAAGCGAGCUACUGGACAUUUACUGACUCUGAGGCGCGAAAGCCAGGGUAGCGAAAGGG
rnacentral:rRNA from 1 species